rnacentral:lncRNA from 1 species
CAGUGUAUUCCUGAUAAUAAAAGUAUCUCCUGCUGGCUGCCUACCUUGGACUGCUGCUGAGCACAGUGGAGCCGUCUCUAAGUGUUACCUCCAAAAGGCUUGUGGCACUCAAACGUGCAGUGCCAUGUGUCCCCAAGGAUCAUCACUUCAGCCAUAUGCAGUGAGACUGCUACAGGGACAGCCGUACUGCAGCAUGGCCUUGCCUCCUGCUUCAGGCCAUCUGUGAGAGAUGGCAGAGGUCUGUCCCCUGACGUGUGACCUGCAUUUGCAAGCAGGAGUUAGAGAACCAGGUGGCUCUGC